rnacentral:lncRNA from 1 species
AAUGAGCAGGGCUUUCUGAUAUGAGGAAUUCGGCAGGGUUGAUAUGGAUGCUGAAACAGGUUUAUGAUGAUAACUUUGUUUUUUGGGAUUUUCCUUUGUGGUUCAUGAUUUCAGUGUAGGAGUUCAAUAGAAGCUAUGUUGACAACCUGAUUGUUUUGAUAUUCCGAAUAGUAUCUUCAAUUACAAGGUGAUUUAUCAUAUUCCAAGUGUAGAAAGAGGCCAUAUAUUCUAUGCAAUUGUAGACAUCUUCUCGUACUCCCCAUGAAUGAAUUACCAUGAAGCCCUUUAGGGUCCAUUUGGAUACACGGAUAUCUUGUUUAACGUGUCCUUUUUGUUUACUUAUGUGGUUUUCGUAAUUGGUUCGGUAAUUGAUUUGAUUGGGACCGGGGAAGGAUGUCUGUAGCAUAUGCAAUGAAUGUAUAGCCUUACACUUUGUUUUCAGCAGAAUAUGAUAAAUUAAUUAUGAUUAUGAUAAUUCGUCAAGUUUUGAAGUUGCAAUCACAAAAGAAAUUCUGUAUCAUUCGCAAGUUUUGUCCAAUUAAGUCAUUCCAGCAUUCAAAUUGGCCCUUAAAUGAGGCCAAAUAUGUCUUAGGCUAUCUAUUGAGGUAUGCAUAUCCUACCUUUCACCCAUCCACCAUCCUUAUUCAGUAUACAGUGAAUAAACAUGAAUAGUCAACUUUGUAUGAUGUGCGAUACUUUUCUUUAUACGUAUUGAAGUACUGAUACUUAUAUAAUAUUCAGAAAUAUAUAUAUACAUGUGUAAAUCAAACAUCACAUAUAUAGGAAAAUAACAUGAUGGUAUUAAAUAUAAUAAUAAAGGUCAAGGUUUUCUUCUAGUUAUAUCCAUAUUCUAGUUGCUUCCAUGUGCUUCUUAUUGUGGAUACAUUGCAUGAGAUUAGAUGGUCAGCUUUGUUCUUAAUUAACUUAUUUACAUUACAAGUUGUGGAUAUCCCAGUAAUGUUUCUUUUCUUUCUGAAAAAUAAUAAGGUUUCUGCAGUCAAUGCUACAGGAAUGAAGUAACCAAUCUACCGUGCUUGCGAGUUGCAGUUCCUCUUCUCAGGUGUGAAUUCUCGAAUCUGUGGAUCAGAAAACCAGUAGGUUAGCUAUCAUUGUCAUAUCUAAACCUGUUAUUAAAUGUUACUCUUAUCUCUUCUUUCUUGUUUUUCCAUGUAUGUUGUUUCCUUGCAUUUGAGCAUGUGACAUUUCGCAAUUAAUUGCAACCUUCCAACUUUGAGCCGCCAUGACAGUUGUCUCCUUUACCUGUCCGGUGUAUGAAGAUUACAUAGUAAAAUCACAAUGGUAUAUUUGUCUAUAAUCAAAGUUUCAUCUUGCUGUCGCUGUUAUGAGGAAGAAAACUAAGAGAACAUGUGAGAAACACUAAGUUAGGUUAGUAUUUUCCAUUGGCGAAAGCGAGUCGCUUUCGCCAGGACUUGUUAUGCUUAUGUGAAACUUCCGCGAUUGAUCUCGACGUGCUGACUCGUUCUGUGGGAUGUGCACUAUCCUUCAUGUAUGCUAAAUGGAUGUUAGUAUCUCUUUCUCUCUCAUUUCCUAAAGGAAGUAGAUAAUUGUUGUUUAUUUGUUGGAAUUAUUAUAAUAUUAUGAUAAACCUUCCUUUUUAACUAUGUAUUCUUUUGAGAUGGUCCCUUAUGUAGCCAACCCAACAUUGCAUGUGAUUGAUCCACAAAAUAAGUGCCACUGCUUUUAGGAGAACAAUAGUAACAAAAAAACCAUGGGAGUUGAUCAUUCACUCUCUUAAGUGAGUUGAAACCACGUUUUCUUUAAAGAUUAUUUUUGGACUCUUAUGUAAAAUUUGACAAGUUUUAGUAAUUCUUGCUUUACUUUUUCAUGCCAAAUUUUCUUCUUUUUUCUCUACAUCAAAGCCUUAAAAUAUCCAAUGAUUUUAAAUGCUUCCCAAUUCUCUUGACCAACAUGAGCACAUUAUGGUUGGUGAAGUAAAUGACAAUAAAUGAAACUCUUAACUUUAGCCAAGUGAUGUUUACACUUGGUACCCCCAAAAAAAUGUGUUGUUAACCUUUUGGUCCACACAAACUUUGUGAGGAAAAUACAACCAGUCCUAUAGCACAGGUGAAAUUUUACACCUUAGCAAUUUGUGAUUCUCUUCCCAUGCUUUAAUGAUAGCUUUGAGUAGGGUGGUAAUCUAGCUCGCUGUUCGCGAACCAGCUCGUGUUCGGCUCGAAAUGAGCUCAAGAUCGAAUCGCGCGUUAGUAACGAGCGAACACGAGCUGAAUUUUUUGGCUCGUUUAUUAAACGAGCCGAACACGAGCUGGGGUUAGCUCGCUUGUGUUCGGCUCGAUAACAAGCUCGAAUACAUAUAUUUUAUAUUUAUAUAAUUUAUUUAAUUUAUAUUUAUAUAUAUAAAUAAAUAAUUAUAUUAUAAUAUAUAUUUUUAUUAUUUAAUUUUUAGCACAAUAAAAUAUAAAGGCGAGCUCAAUUAUAAAAAGACUCAAUUAUAUGUAAAAUUUUAAUUAUUAGAUCAAAGUCUAAUAGAUAAGAUUCUAAAAUUUAUUUUUAUAUAUAUUCAAUCUAAACCUCUUAACUUAUUGCUCGUUGGCUAGCUCGUGAGCCUUUUCGGCCUCGAUAUUUUAACGAGUCGGCUCGUGUUUGACUUCUUUAUUAAACAAGCCGAACAUGAGCCGGCUCCAGCUCGCUUGUGUUUGGCUCGUUUACACCCCUAGCUAUGAGCAUCAAAUCGACUUGGAAAUUUUUUGUGAAUAGAUAUAUGAACUCUUCUUUGCCAUUAGUUUUUAGUGAGCACCAGGAUAUAGCAUAUCUAGGAGACCAUUGUAGCAAACAUUUUUGAGUCACUUUGAUGUUGCCUAUGCCCAAAUAAGUGUAGGGCAUGGGAGGUGACAAAUCAUUAAGAUUCAAAAUAAUAAUAAUAAUAAUAAAAUAAAUACUGUUUAAAUAGAAUUACUCGAAGAAGCAAUUUAGUUUCGAACUUAAUGUGAUCGAUCUCAAAGCACUUUUGCACACAUCUACAAAGCAAAGAACCCUCUCUAGCUAGCACCUUCCUCAGUCUCCUACCCUGGAAAAAGCUCCACUAAUGAGGGCCAAAAAGCAAAAAAACAAAGCAAAAGAAUCAAUGGUACGAUCCUUUUGCCGAUUCCUUAGUAACAGAAAAUUGGGACCACACCACUCAUGCAUCGUGAACUAUAGUAUGCAAAGGACUCGUGUAAUUAAAGUAAAAGUAAAUUGGUACGGUGGGGAUGGAUCUCCUACUUAUAUUCUCUCUCUCUUCUGCACCAUUCAUGAGAUGAAGAUGAUAUGAGUUAGAGCGCACAGAACAGCUGUGUUCCACCCGUUGAGGGGUCACACGGAAUCCAAGAUGAUCGAGUAGUCGUAAUUAACGCUCCAUUGGCAAGAGAGGACGUACUAAUAGUCAGUGACUUAUGGAAUAACUUAUGUACAAAUAUUAUAUUAUUAAUUUCAUUUGAUUUAAUUAGUAUUGAGCUCAAGUGGAAUUAAAUUGAAAUUUAAUCAUAUUGGCAACUUAACAGAUAAGCAUACUACAACAUGGGACCAAGCAUCUCCAUCAUCUUCCUCUUUGUAUUUUUACAAGCAUCUCGGUAUCUCUAUUAUUGAACAACUGCAUCAAAGAGGAAACAUCUUCACGUGACCCUACUAUUCUAGUACAACCAUUAUUAAAAGGCAACGGCAUUCUCGUACAAUCGAUCGAAUUGAUUAGUGAUAAGAAAAAUGUAAUUCUAGCAUUAUUCUUAUUCUUAAUUAGCUACUAUUAGUUGUAAAUUGGAUUAUCUCUCGGACGUACCCUUUUUUUAAAAAAAAAUUCUAGCUGCCACUCCUCUCCAUUGUUGUCUCCUCAAGUAGAGUUAAUUAUAAUAAGAUCCAUUAGUAGAAUUAGCACCUAAUUAAGUGAGUAUUUCAAUCAAAUCAGUAAUCUUAGCAAUAUAUAUGUUUUACAUCAUAAUUUCACCUAGUUUAAAGCUCCUUCUCUCCUUUUUCCAACUGCUUCAUGGAAGAAGCACAUGUCAAUCAUUUGAGCUCUUGUGUUUGUUCAGGUUCCUUUUAUUCACGAGUUUGUACACACAGGUUAACUAUAAUUAACCUAGUACCAUCCGACAUUUCAAGUCAGUUUCUAUUUGGAUAUAUGAACAUCUUAUUUCACACAUCUCUUUUGUUUGCUAAGAAUAAUUAACGUAGCAAUUAGUAGACUAAAAGAAUGAUUAAUUAGAUGUACAUAACACCACACUAUAUUCGAUCUUCCAAUUAUUUUCUUAGAAUAAGAUAUAUUUCUCCGUAGAUAAAAUACAUUAUAUUGAGAUCUUAUGGAGACAUUGUAGGAGAUUAAAAUCAAACCCUCAUUGCUCAUAUAUUAUCAUGAGAGUAAUGCUUCUAUAUAUUUUUUUUUUGGUUACCGUUCAUUCACGUGUAUUCAACGGCUCAGAUUUAGUUUUUUUAAAAUUGUGACCUGCAAUAGCAGGUCACUUUGGGAGAGGUACCGGUUACCAGGUACCUCAAAAAAGAAUAUUUUUGUCUUUUAAUACAUGGGCAAUUUAGUCAUUUUACAUCUACUAUAUUUUCAAAAUUUUUAUUUUUUCUUUGUUUCCUUUUUCUCUCUCUAUCUUUCCUUUCAUAAUUUGGCAUUUCAUAUAAGGAAAAUUUCAAAUGUUUUGACAAUAUAAUCAUUGAAUUUAAACUUUAAAUAGUAAUAUGAAAUUCCUCUAAUUUAAAUUUCACUUUUAAAUUUAAAAUUUAAUAUUAUAUUCAAAUUUAUAUUUUAAAAAUUUAAGUUUCAUAUAAAUACUUUGAAAUAUGGUAAACAGAAAUAAUUGUUUGAAUUCUAGUCUUCUGGUUUAGGUUUGAUUUUGGGUUUCGAAAAAUUGGUCAGUUUUGAAUUUGGAUAUGGAUUUUUGAAAUCCGUCGAGUUCGGAAAUAAGUUUUGUGAUUGUUAGUCAGAUUCGAAUUCAAAUUCCUAACUAUUUUUUUUCUCACCAAUAAUUCUAAUCUUUUUAAUUUAUAUGUUUAAAAUUAUAUUUAAAAUAUUUAUUAGCUCUAACAGUUAAAUUAUCAUUCUGUUUAAAAUAUUUAUUAUCUUUACCGGUUCCAAAUUGUUCUUAAUGUUAUUCGGUUCAAUAGGUUAAAAUCAGAUUCUUGAUAGAAUAGGUCAAAGUCUGAUCAGUCAAAUCAAUCGGUUCAAUCUAGUUUUUAAAUCAUUGAAUUUAAAAUUUAAAUAGUAAUAUAAAAUUCCUCUAGAGAAAUCUAGUUGUAGAAAUCUUACUCUCUAAGUUUUUUAUGCAUUACGUUUUAAACUGGUGCGAAUAAACUGUAUUUUAAAUCUUGGUAGAAAUUUAGUUUUUAAAUAGUAAUAUAAAAUUCCUCUAAUUUAAACUUCACUCUUAAAUUUUAAGUAUUUAAGUUUUAAAAUUUAAAUUCAUCGUAUUUAGAAAUAAAACUAUUUCUAAAAUUUCUAUAAUUUAAAUUAAUGCAUAAUUCGAGAAGCACUAAAACAUUUAAAGUAGAUUCCUAAAUUAAUGCCUAAUAAUUGCAUAAAUUUGGUUAAUCAAUUAAUUUCCUAAAUUAGUGCUAAUUAAUGCAUAAAUUUAGGAGAUUAAAAGCAAACCCUAAUUGCGCAUAUAUUAUCAUGAGUAGAUAACUUAUUCUGGUAUCAAAAUCUAUAGGCGCUUCAUUUCCACACUUUAGUCGCUAGACUCUAACGCUUUGUCACUCGAAGUAUGAAAGUUGAAAAACUAAUUAAAUGGUUUAAGUUAAAAUGUACGAGGGGCCACAUGAAAUAGCAUUUUGUUUUGCCCCUACUUGCAGUUGAUACAUCGAUAUCGGGAUAUAAAGUAUACUAUUUAGUUCCUAAAUUUGCACAAAAGCUUAUGAUCAUGGGAAAUCAUUGUAAUUAAUGAAGGUUUUGGAAAGAGGAAUCUAUAUUAAUAUUCAAAAAAUAUAUCUAAUUGCAUCUUGGUGAAAUAUGAAAUAUUUUAAAAAUAUUUACAUUUUACCUGUCUCCAUUGCCCGAUUUAAUGCAUGCGCACCAUCAACUAUUAAGUUUUCUUCUUCUUCUUUUGCUUUUUUUAAUGAUUCUAGACUAUUGGCUGAUUUGUUGCUUAAGAAAUUUUGGUACAAUUUUUUUUUUAUUUUUAAUUUGUGUGAUGAUGCUGAUUGCAUACUGAGGAAUAGAAUAGACUAAUAGUUUUAAGCCAGAUAUAAAUUUAACAGAUCAAAAAAAGCCUCCAUUUUUGCAUUUUGGACUUGAUUACCGUUUGGUACCCACUAGUUUGCAAACAAAAAAAAUUUGUGCACUCUACUUAUGGUAGUUGUCUUCUUGUGACGACAUUAAUUCAUAGUAUUACAAUAAUUUAUAGUAAGCAAGUAAUUGAAAUUGUUUUUUUUGAGAGAUUAAUUGAAAUUGUUUUCAUCCCUCUUAUCUUAGUACAGGGCUGGGCUGUAGGUGGUGUAUUGCAUAUACACGGGAAUGUAAACGAUUCCGAAGAGAACUCGUGGUUAGACUACGUUGUCCAAUCGAUCCCUAGUAAUCUAAUGGGAAUAAAAAAAUAUGACGGUGUUUGGCUAAACGCACUAAGUAAUCUAGUUGAUAAUAUUGGAUUCACUUGGGAAUAAAAUUCACCCCAAAGUACUAAUCUCAUUCCCUUGAGGGAGGGUGGGUAUCCUUAUAUUAAUGGAAUGGGGUAAUCAUAAUAUAUCUAAUCUCUUUCUUUCUUCCUACCCGCCGGCUAAUUGAUAUUAUUUUUCUUUACACUCUAAUCUUAUAUCUCUCUCUAAACUUAUUUUUCUCUCUAAAAUUCAACUUUUUUUCUCUCUCUAAACUAAGCUUUCUUUCUCUCUCUCUUUCUAAAAUUUCAACUUUCUCACUCCCUCUAAUUUCGAUUAUAUUUUUCUUUCUUUUUUUUUNAUUUCCACCGAAAUGAAAAACUUUCAGGUGCUUUCAUGUGCGGAUGAUCUCUGUUUUACCUGCUGCACUGCUUCAGAACCUCUGUAACUAUUCUGAUCACUCAUUUGAGACGCUUAAUACAUGUUGUAUGAACUCUCUUUUGCAUAAUGAAACUUUUCUUUGGCAUUGAGAUCUAAAUCCUCUUUUUUUGAAUACGUAGAUCGAUCUAAUGGUAUUUGCAUCAUUUCGCUCUCAUAAUACUAAUGAUUGCCGGAAAAAAUUGAUGUACUUAAGAUUCAAAUGACUAAUUGCAUGGAUGGAUUGUUUGGAUGGUUAAUGCUGGCUUCUUAAAGUUGGAUAAUUAUCUGCAAAUGUGCUAUUGUUUAGGUGAAUCUUAUGGAUUGGUAUUCUUUAUCUAUUUGAGAAUUAGGAUUCAUCGUACAUCAACACAUGAAUUGUUUUAAUUUCUUGUUAUGUAUGAAUCAAGAUGUGGACUUCAAGCAAACUUCGUACACAGAUGUCUCUUGGAGUAUCUACUUUUCUACAUUUCUUUUAAUUUUUCUAAAUUAGAAGUUUUUUAUAAUUGUCGGAAUAGUAAUUAAUUAUUUCUUUUAGAUUGUUGUUAAGUCUUAUAUUUUCCUAAGCAAGGCCCGGCCCGAUGGGCCAUGUUUGGGUCGGGCUUUGGGUAUUAAAAAUACAACUUUGGGUUCGAGCUGGGUUUAAAAAUUUAGGCCCGAAAAAAUUUUGGGCCUAUUUGGGCACGUCCAAGCCCGACCCGAGCCCGACCCAAAAGCCCGAUAUAUUAAUUAUCAAAAUAAAAUAUUUAAUUAUAUAUAUUAUUUAUCUAUAGUAUAUCAUAUAUAGUAUAUAUUGUUAUUAAUGAUAUGUACUUAUAUAUAUGAGGAUAUAUUAUAUAUUAACAAAAUAUUUAGUUCUAUAUUAUGAUAUAUUUGAUGUUAGAUAUUAAUUUCUUUGAUGUGAUAAAACUAAAAAUAGGUAUUUUAUUUUAAUUUUAUACAAAUAAAAGUAUUUAUGUAUUAUAUGAUAAAUGCUUAAAUGGGCCUCCACAAAGCCCGAUGGGUAUUGGGCAUUGGGCUUGGGCUUGGGCCGGGCCUCAAUUUAAAAAAAAUUGGGUAAAAGCCCGACCCGAAGCCCAAUAUUUUUUUGGGCCGGACUUGGGCAUAGUAAUACCCGACCCAAGCCCGGCCCAGUUCCACCCCUAUGUCUGACACACAUGGGGCCAUCAACAUUUUGUGCGUAGUCAACUUUGGCGGGGAAAAGCAAAAAAAGAAAAAAAAAGAAAAAAAAAAGGGAAUAUUGUAUAAGAAACUACAAGUCUACAACACUAUGCUUGGUCAACUUUGGCAGGAAAAAGCAUACACUUUUGAACCAAUGUACAUAUGUAAAAAUAAAAUUGAAUUUAAAAUUUGAAAGUGCACUCACAUAUAAUUAUUCUUUUCUUUUCUUUUCUUUUUUUUUUGCGCUUUUUCCUUGCCAAAGUUGACGCCAAAGUUGACCAGUGUUUUAGUUGAUAAUAUUUGAACUGAGUAAUGCUAGCUGUAUAUCAGGUAUAUGUAAGUAUGGUAUAAAUCCUACACUUUGUCCAUUAAAAUUAGCAAUAUUUUUAAUAUAAUUAUUUUUUUAAAAAAAUUUUAAAUUCUUAGAUUGGUGAGUGUGAGAUUUAUAGUGUAUGAGUGUGAUUGGGAUAAUUCUCUUUGAUUGGUCGGAUUGAAAGGUAAAAAAAAAUUAAUAUAUAAGAAGAAUAUUUUGCUCUUUAUUUUCUAAAAAUUUUUGAAAAGUCAUUGGAAUAUUAUUGUAGUCUCUUUCCUUCCUCCAAAAAUUUAAGUGUCAAUCGAUACGGAUCGUAUCUACUGUGUCGUAUCAUGUCAAUAAGAUAUUAAUACGAUACAAAUUUUAUGCCGAUGACACAAUUUAAAAUCUUCUAUUCUUUAAAUUAGUAAAAAAAAAUUUCAAUAAAAUUUAAAAAAUUUAAUAAAAAUAUAUAAUAAACAGUUAAAAUAUUUUAUUGCUAAAAAAUAAAAAUAAAUUUAUACUAUUAUAUAUCGACAUAUGAUCGACAUAUAUCAAUACAGUACGAUGCAUCCUACCAUACCGUACAAGCAGGUUUGGGAAAAACCUGCCACGGCACUUAAAUCUUUGCCUCCCCUUCCUCUCCCGUCUCCCUGCAAAGCCGCGAGCAGGAAGGAAGAGGCAGACAGGAUGGAGCCGGUGCUGGGGCAUUUUGCGUCUGCCUUCAUUUCCGCGAUCGUCACGGAGCUGGUCAACAAAGGCCUCACUUUAUUCACGAAACGCAACCGCCUCAAGAUGAAGCUGGAGCAGCUGGAGGAGCUCCUCCCAAAGAUCCGGUCCCUCCUCACGGCCGCCGAGCGGCGACAGACCUAUCAUUUCACUCGGGAGCAGCGACUUCAGUUGACGAAGCUGAGAGAUGCUAUUUACUCCGCAGACGACGUCCUCGACGAUUUCGAGUACCAGCAUCUCGAGCGCCAAUCUCGCAAGUUCAAUGUUAGUAAUUUCGCCGGUAAUUUUUAAAAUCCUCAAAGAUUUUCAAUUAUUUACUUAUUUUAUUCAUUUUUCUCUCUCUUAAGCUUUGGCCCGGGAGCACUGGCGUUGAUAUGUUGGAAAAAGCAGUCGAUGACAUUGAAAGUGUUAUUAAGGAUUUCAAUCAUGAGUUUGAUUUCCUAAAUGGUUCGGAACCGGAACACGGUGACCAGGAUUCCCCGGAGACGACCUCACAGCUACCUCUAGCACGCGUGUUCGGGCGAGAAGGUGAGGUGCGGCAAAUACUCGAAAUGCUCGAGCGAGGGGGAGGAGAAAAUUUCCGGUACAGAUCAGGUUUCGGCGUCCUUCCCAUAGUAGGCACCGCAGGAGUCGGUAAGACCACCCUUGCGCAGCUCAUCUACAAUCACGAAUUCGUCAAGCGGGAAUUCCCGACGAGGAUGUGGGUUUACGUGUCCGACAAAUUUAAUGUCAGAAAGCUGACCGUAAAGAUGAUACACAGCGCUUUGGAUGAAGAGCAGCAGCAGCAGCAGCUGCAGCUGCAGCUGCUGCCUCGUAAGGACUACGGCAGUUUACAGGGCGCGCAGGCCGAUCUCGAGCGUCUGUUGACGGGCAAGAGGUUCAUGCUCGUCCUCGAUGACGUUUGGGAAGUGAUUAAUUCCGAAGAAUGGGGCAACCUAUGCAAGCCCUUUAGACUAGCAGCGAAGAGAAGCGUAGUUUUGGUGACGUCUCAAAUUCAGUAUGUGGCGUGCCAAAUAGAGCCGAUGGACCCGGUGACGUUAAGUGGUUUGGAUGCUGACGAUUAUUGGCGGCUGUUCAAGCACUCUGCGUUCGGAGGAGACGACCCUGCUGAGCACUCUAACUUGGGAAAGAACGUCGGCGGGACGUCCGAAAAGGUUAAAGAGAAGUCGAGAUUGGAAGAAAUAGGUUCGGAGAUUGCUAGUAGGCUGGGCGGCUCACCCUUGGCCGCCAAACUACUGGGAAGUGUGUUAAGCCGAAACAAAGAUGAGGACCAUUGGGAUCAAAUCCUGCAGAGUGAUUUGUGGAACGUAGAGAAUAUCAUUUCCCCCUCCUUUUGGUUGAGUUAUAAGUAUCUAAAUGGACAGCUAAAGCAUUGUUUUGUUUACUGCGCAGCGUUUCCUCAAGGUUUCAUUUUCGAGAAAGAUAAGCUAGUCCAAAUGUGGGUGGCACAAGGCUUUAUACCUCCUAGCAGUGACGAAAGACCGGAGGAUGUUGGGGAUCGCUACUUUGAGGAAUUAGUUGAUAGAUCAUUCUUUCAACCUGUUUGGAAUGAUAAAUAUAUGAUGCAUAGCUUGAUCCAUGAAUUGGCACAAUCAAUUGGUUCCGAUGAGUUCUUCACAUUUGCUGACCGGCCGCGGGGAAUCCUGUCAAGAAUAGCUCGUCAUAUAGCUUUUUCGUCAAGAACAGCUCGUCACAUAACUGUUAGGACUGAUGAUCUACUGCAACUAGAGCGUGCGCUAAAGAACAAUAAUAUUAAUCUAAAGCAUCUGCGCACUAUUUUAUUCUUCGGUGGGUAUAAAGAUUCUAUCCCAUUCUGUAAUCUUCUCGACUCCAUAUUCCAACAGGCCAAAAGCAUAAGAGUGCUGGAUUUAUCUCAUACAUGUAUGACAGAUUUGCCAAGCUCGAUCGAUAAUUUAAAACACCUGCGAUACUUGGAUUUAUGUGGUAACAGAGUAACGUCAUUGCCUCAAGACCUUUGCUCGCUUUACCAUCUGCAGGUGUUAAAUGUUAAAUGGUGCCCUCUUCAGCAACUGCCAGAAAAGAUGAAUAGAUUGAUUAACUUGAGACACAUUUGUGCGGACACUCUGACAAGUUCAAUAAUAUCUCAAAUCCUAAAGCUUACAAACCUUCAGGAGCUAGAAAACUUUCGUGCUGGGAACAGCAAUGAAUUAAACGCCCUCGCAUGCAUGACCGAACUUAGGGGUCCUCUCCAUGUUACGGAUCUCCAUCUUGUCAAGGUUGGAGAGGCUAAAGAGGGGAUUUUGAAGGAAUCGAAGCACCUAACUUCACUGUGGUUAUCAUGGGAUUCUGAGGGACAAGGCAUACGACAAGUAGAUGAUGCACAAACUACUCUUGAUGAGAAAGUCCUGCAAUGCCUUCAGCCACAUGACAAUCUUAAAGAGCUAAGAAUUGAUAGUUAUGUCGGUCGUAGCCCACCCAAAUGGAUGCUAACAGAUAAUCGUCAUUCCAACGUAAGAUCCAUGUACUUAAUUGGUUGUGUUAAUUUGCAAAACCUCCCACCUUUGGAGCUGCUGCCUAAACUUGAGAUCCUAGAGAUUAAAGGUAUGCAUGCAUUGGAAAAAGUUAGCUGUCAAUCACUUGGUCAUGACUCGGUAAAAAAAGGGUUUCCAAGGUUGGAGAAACUUUCGAUCGAUGACCUGCCAAAUUUAAAAGAGUGGACGGGGGUAGAGGAUGGUCAGUUUUUUCCUUGCCUUUGUGAGCUUGUUGUUCGAAAUUGUCCCACUCUAGAAAGAUUUCCUUACAUCCCUCAACUUAAGAAUGUCCGUCUAGAAAAUGUUGGACUGGUUUCUCUUAUAGCAUUCUUCAAUGUAUGCCUUUCGGAGGUCACGCUACCAGAAAGCAGCAGUAGCAGUAGCAGCAGCAAAGGGAUUCCAUUGGCAUUUCCGACCAUUUCUUCCAUGUACAUCAGCAAGUGUCCAUACUUAAUUUCUUUUGGGGAAAGCUCAAAUCAACUAUUUCUUCCUCGACUCUUUGAACUCGAGAUACGAAACUGCCCGCAGCUUUGUUUGCUGCCAGAUCUACCACCUACAUUAACAAAAUUGAUUAUUGAAGAUGCUGGACUGGAAGAACUUCCAAGAAUACAGGAGAAGGGCUUGACAGGUGGUGUUGAGAUGGUGGGAACAGGUUCUUUUCUCUCAACCUUGCAUAUUAGUAGCUGCCCAAAGUUGAGUACCCUAAGUAUAGGCUUGUUUCAGCAACAAGGACUCCGAAGACAUCUUGGAAAGUUAUCGCUCAAGAACUGUGAAAAUCUCAAAUCUGAUCUGGACGAAGGGUUUAAAAAACUCACUGCACUAAAAGAGUUGACUAUUAUUGAUUGUCCCAAGCUAUUUAUCUCUCAUGUUCACGUAUCUCUCAAGACGAUUGAAGUCAGUGAGUGUUUUAUUACUCAAGGUGCUCGGUUCGGUCAUCAGAAUCCACUUCUCCACUCUAUUGAGACUGUAAAGAUUAUUGGCUGUCCACAUGCAAAUUCUGAUGAAGUUCAAAAAUUGAAGAUGCCGGACUCAUUUAAGCUGGACUCAUUUAAGCACCUUACAGCCGUCGAUCGCCUUUAUUUGGUGAACACGUCUGUUCUCACACUUGAUCUAUUUACAGAACUUCGCUCACUGAGAAUUCUGGAUAUAGAUGGUUGCCAGAAAUUUCUAACCAAUCAGCCACAGCUUUUGCACUUCAGCAAACUCCAACAUUUGAGCAUCCGGAACUGCAAAGAGCUCCCAUACCUCCCUGAGGAUCUAAAUACUCUUAAAUCCCUCAUGGAAUUAUGCAUUGAAAAUUGUCCUUUGAUAACUUCUCUGCCUCAGAAUGAUCUGCCACCUUCACUCGAAAGCUUGUCUAUCCGUGGAUGCGAUCCACUGUUGAAGCAACAGUGCCUAGAUGCCAACUAUUUCUUUCCAAAGAUUUCUUACAUUCCUUACAUUUGCAUUGAAGGAGAAGUAAUACAAUCAGGAGGAGGUAAGUCUACCAGCUGCAACUGCUCCUUCACCCUAAAUUUUCUGUUUAGUCCCAUGGCAUCUAUAUAAUCUAUAUCUAUAUCUAUAUAUCUAUAUUAUAUAUAUAUAACAUAGUUGGAUCCACGUGGCAUGCAGAGGGCAAGGGUGAGUUUUUCCUUUUUCCUGUCUCUUAAAUUUUUCUCUCUUCAGAUAUAGAGAAGAUGAUUUGGAACCUUUUUUUUUUUUUAAGUCCAAUCUAAUUCUUUAUUUUUUAUUACAAAAAUUUCAAAUAUAUAAAUUUUUACGCAUAACUUUUAAAUAGUUUAGGCUGUUUGUAUUAAAUAUAAAUUUUGAUUUUAUAAUAUUGAGCAUUUAGAUAUAGAUUGUAUAAUAAAAAAUAAAAGAAAGAUUGAUGGAGUUUAAGUUAAUUUUUUAUUUUACCAAAUUUAGUUGCGAGAAUCGCAUAAAAUAUACUAACUAAAUCAGUAAAGUUAAGCGAUGCAUUCAAAUUUUGAAUUCAAAGUACCAUUAUCUUACUCAAAUCUAAUGUAUAAAAAAGUUGGAUAAUAAAAAUAAAAUUUUGAAAGGUUGGAUAACUGAUUCAAAAUGGUUCAUAAUUCAGAAAAGUUUUAUAUAUUUUUAUUUUGAGUUUAAUGCAAAAUUUCAAUGCCAUAUUUAUGGUCUAAUAAGCGAUCAAUUUUACAUUUAAAUUUUUUUGGAAUAUCCAAAAUAUAAUUGGUCGAUUUUUAAUUUUAACAAUUAGGCUUUCUAAAAUUCAUUCGAUAGUUUAACAUAUUCUUUCCUCAUAUGAAAUCGGUAAUGAAACAAAACUGAUCAAUGCUCAACUUUGACUUUGUUUGGAAGAAAAACAAAACAUAAAAAAAAUAAAUUGUAGUUUUGGUCCUCAUACUAUAAGAUGCGUGAAAUUUUACUCCUCAAACUUUCUUGGGUUACUAUUUCUUGCUCAAACUAUAAGGGACAAUACUUUAGUCUUCAAAUUUUGAUUAGUUGUAAUUUCUGGCUCGAAUUAUGAAACAUAUGAUAUUUUAAUUCUCAACUCUUAUUAGUGUUAUAAAUGUAACUCUUCUUAUAUAUUUUUUUUCUUUUUUUAAAUACUUUUUAUAUUUUUAUUCUUAUACUUUUACUGUAGCAAUUGUUGUUUCGUCUUCAGUUUCUUUAUUUGUAUUUUUUUUUUAUUCUUUGACUCUUCUUUUAUUUUUUUUUCGUUGUUUCUUCUUUCUUUAGCUUUAUUUAUUUAUUUAUUUAGUUUUAUGGAAUCGACCCGUCGUAACGCGCGGGUGCCUUCACUAGUAAAACUUGAUUUCACUGUUUUGUGAGUCAAUCAAUACUUGGAUGUUCAUUAUGGCCUAUUAGAUUCUGUAGAACCUUAUGUUACAUAUUUUAUCCUAUAUCUUCAUUGAUGCACGAAUGAAUUUGGUAAAAUGUAUAUACCUCAAAAACAAUUUCUAAUGAAGGUCGAUCCAUCAAAACAUUUUUAUUUUAGUUUGUUGAUAUAAAAUGGGAUGAAAAACCUACUUCAUAGGUACAAUUGUGCUCAAUAAGCUCAUGAUAAGUAGUAAAACAAUGUCUAGAAGAGGUUUUCUUUCUCUUAAUAAAGUUUCCUUAUGAACUAUUUUGACUCGGUAAUAAACAUUUUACUGCAGAGAACCCAUGAUAUCUAGCUAGAUAGAAAUAUAGAAUUGUUUGCUUGAACAGCUUUCUUGUGAAGAUAAAUAUGUUCUCAAAACUACAUCUGUGUUAUUUACUAAUCAAUCCGUUAUGAGCAAUCUUGAUUUUAUUUUUUGCUGCUAUGCAUAGACUCUGCAAUGCUACAUAAAUUACUUUUUCUACAUUUUGCUUCAAUUAAUUUAUAUUACCUAAAGUGAUUGAGAUAUCUCAUCCUAAGGACUUAAGCAUUAGUACUAAUACUCUGGUUGACUCCCGUGAGCUAACUAACUCACUUCAAAAUAAUCUCAUUUCAGUUUUGCGGCAUCCAGGACUCAUCGUUUUGUUAGGCGUACUCAAGUUUUAAGGAACUUGAUCGAGAUGGUCUUGCAUUUUGCUUAAACGGACGGAAUUGGAGGUAUAUGUUGUGGUCUAUUUUUGUUUAGCGCAAUUUUAUGGCUCUUUGUCAUUUACCUUUUGGCGUUGUUUUUACAGGGUCUCUGUCAGCCUCAAAAACAACAAACAAACAAACAAAAAAAACAAGAAAAAAAAGAGAAAAAAAAAAAGAAGAGAAAAUAAAUUAGUGGAAAAAAAAAGUGGGAAAAAAGUGUGCUUAGCUUGGCCCUUGGCCCUUGCCCCAACUUCCUAUUGCCAUUGGACCAAGUUUCCAUGCAUGCAUCUAACUAAUCUGUGGUUUAGGGGGAAAGCCUUGAUUCAGUGUGCAUGUUUAUUCAAUAUAUUUAAUUCUUCGGUUGUGUGUCUAUUCUCCGCAAAAAAAAAAAAAAAAAAAAAAGUCUAGGGAAAAAGCUCUUGAUUUAGUGUGCGUGUUUAUUCAAUAUAUUAUAAUUUUUUGGUUGCGUGUCUACUCUCUGCAAAAAAAAAAAAAAAAAAAGUCUAGUGGGAAGCCCUAAAAAAAAAGUCCCUUGAUUCAGUGUGCGUAUUUAUUCAAUAUAUAUAAUUUUUGGUUGCGUGUUUACUCUCCCAAAAAAAAAAGAAAAAAAAAGAAAAAAAAAAAAAGUCUAGUGUCUAAGCCCUUGAUUCAGUGUGCGUGUUUAUUCAAUUAUUUAAUUCUUUAGUUGUGUGUCUACUCUCUGCAAAAAAAAAAGAAAAAGAAAGAAAAAAGAAAAAAAAAAAAAGAGAGUUAUGUUUUUAAUGAAAAUUAUGUUUAUGUUUUAAUGGGUCCUUCAAACUAUGUGUGUUUAUUUAAUGUAUUCAAUUUCGUUCUGGUGUGUAUUUUCUCUACAUACAAAAAAACAAAAAAAAAAAAAAGAAAAAAAAGAAAAAAAGAGUUAGUGGUAUGUUGUACUUGUCCUUCAACUCUGUUUACUUGAUAUAUUGAAGUCUUUUGUGAUAUGUUCAGUGUAAUAGUGGAGUCUUCACACAGUGUGUGUGUAUAUUGAUGUAUUUGUGCCUCUUUAAGUCCUCUGUGGUGUAUUUUUCUUCCGAAAAAACAAAAUAAAAAAAGAAUCUUUUGUGGUGUGUUUCAAUGGGGCCUUUUGAUUCAUUAUAUUUGCAAGUAUUUGCCUUUAUAGAUUAUUACUUCCCAUGCUUUUUCCUUUAGAUUAACAUUACAUUCAGACAGCUGAACAGCAUGCGACCUGUGAGCUUUAGCUUGGUAGAAAUCCUGAAUUCUUUACUUUGGAGAUUAUUCUUAUGAGACUAGUAGGUUCCAAAGCAACAUCAGUGUGUAAUUUAGUUCUCUCUCAGAAGAUGAUCUUGAUUGUUAUUUACUGUUUUUGGCAAUCAAGUCCAGGAUCUGAAAUAGAUGAUUUUAUUUGUCUUUUGCAUAGUGGACCCAAGAUUCAGAUCAACUAAGUCGUGGUGUUCCUUCUUUGUCAUUCCCAAAAACACUAACAACUUUUUCAUUGAUGUCCUCCACAAUAGUUUCAUCAUACAACAUACACAAGUUCAGACUAAAGCUUCUACUGUUUGGGUCCCGAAAGCUUAUUUUGGCUCACUUCCGAUCCAUUUUGCUUGUCAAAGUUUCCGGAGAAGGAAAGCUGUUCAAUCUUUUCCAAACUGCAAACCCUUUUUAUGAUUACCCUUGCCAAUUGAUUUAUAGUUUGCUCUGUAAUCAGAGUAGUGGCCUGUUUAAAACUUAGGAGAGAAGCUACUAAGUCAUAAAAUAUCUCAAUGGUGCUCUAAGCAUGCAUCUUGCCUACAAACAGGGCAAGAUCCAUGUCUCACUAGCCAUCUGUCUAUGCAGAGUGUAUGAAACAAAUGCCCACAUUUUGGCAUUCUCCUUGCACUCUCUCCCUUCUUAAAGUCCUGCACAUAAAAAAUAAGUUUGCAUGCAUCAGUAUGAUGAAUAACAUAUGCCUACUGGUAUAGAUUUGUUCAUGUCAAAAUGUCUAAGCACUUUUAGUUAUGAGCUCUGAGCCUUAAGAGGCGAAAGUUUCGAUUCAGUGCUUCUGAUUCUAUUAAAGAAAUAAUUUGCCGAGUCUAAUUUGUAUAAUUCUUUUUCUAACAGCACUGUCCUAUAGCAGAGUUAAGCAUGUCCUAAAUCCAGUGCUUUUGAUUGAUGCAAAGGUACAAGCAGAUGGAAAUUGCUACAAACAUCAACUUACUUUUGUUGCCACUUCACAUUACACAAAAGAACAGGUCAAGUUAACACACUAGGACUAAAGAUAACGCACUUUGGGUUUAACUUUAUCCUUAUCAUAAAUAUAUAUAGUGGACCAACCAUAUCUAGCUACUAAUUUGAGUUAUGAUUAUUUCAAAACCUAGGAUCAACUUAUUUACAUGGUCCCUCCCAUGAGCUAGCUUGUGCUUCACUCACAACUGACCCUCUCAUAAGAGGUAACACAUCCUAGUCACCUUGCAUUUGGCUCAGCCACCUUAUAUAGUGCAUGCAUGUGCACCACAUUAAUUCAUUGCUCUCAAUACAUAACCAUACAUGCAUGUGAUAUUUUGCAGAAAAAAUUAUAAAACAUAACAAAAAGAAAACCUUUAAAUCCCCUUCAAAAAGUAUCAGUUUACUUGUGUAUCACCGUAAAAUCAGACGGUCAUAUAUGCAUUUCAUAAACCCGACUUCUUAUGUAUAUAAGACAGUAUUGUUUAUAAAGCGAGAAUUGCUGUACAGAGAUCAUGUGUAUUAAAUCUAGCCAAGUUUACUGAAUGAAUAAAAAUUCGAUUCAAUAUACUUUAUCAACCUAUGGCGAAUUUAGUUUUGUUACUAUCAUUUUCCUCAUGCUUAUAAUCAUGUCCAUCUCUGAAUAAUCAUGUUUUUAGGACAAAACCAACUAAUAUACAUAUAUAUGAGUUAAAAAGCCUAAAAAAAGCCAUGUUGCAUGGUUUUUACUAAGGCUUAAUGGCCAUACCUGCAAGCAAAUAGCACAUGAGAUCAUCUCCCCACAUGAAUCCACAAUCUCACCACAGCUGAUCUCUAACUCAGGCAAUUUUCUUAAGAUCUCCGGCAAUAAUCCAAUUUCGCGAUCAACACCAAGAAAAUCGAAAUUAUCUCUGUCACUGGCUUCAAUUGUAUUUAUCUGAGAUAAUAGUUUCUACAAUCAAAUCACAAGAUUGACAGAGAUAUUUGUAGUAGAACUAAUAUAGUUAAACACCGACUGUUCCUAGAGCAAGUGGCAAAGGAUUUGGUGGUUGGUAUCUGAGACCCAAGUUCGAAUUUUAGUUGAUUCAAAUUUCUAGCUAAGUUUAUUUCUAAAUGAAAUAAACGAAGCGGGUAGCGUGCUAUCUAUCUCUCUCUCAAAAAAAAAAAAAAAAAACUAACAUAGUUAAACAUAUAUCCCUCUAUUUCGAUUACAGUCCGUUCUAAAAUAGACCGCUGAUUAUUUUAAGAAAUUUUGUCACAACUAACAAAUUUUAUAAGAUAUCAGAUAUUGGAAUCAGUAUUUUAUCAGUUAAAAAACUCGUAAAACAAUUACAUUUGAUAAAAUUAGUUUGAUGUGAACAACUAGAAAGAAAGUUAAGGGGUCUAUUUCGAAAUAGGCAAUAGUUGAGGGAUGUCUCCAUAUAUGUGUUUUACCAAAUUUCCAAUUAUUUACCAACCUGCCACUGGUAGGCCUUGAGAAUUGCUGGGCUCACCCACUCCCUGAAUAUUUUCCCAUUUAGAAGGCUCCCAAAAAUGGCCACCUGUGUGCAUGCAUUCAAUACAUAGUGGAGGAGUAAAAUUUAAAUAAAUUAUCCUAUUCCUAUUAAUAUAUAUGUAGGUGGUGAAUAGGGACCAUGAAUCAAUAUGUUUAAUUAUGUUUACAAAGAGGAAUAAAUUUACAAAACGAAAAAGAAAAGAUUAGGGAAAGUUGUUCUAGCUAGUCAGAUCAAGUGUUCUACAAAAUAUCUCAAAUUUUCCCAAAUCAUGUCAUUGUUCUUACAUAAUCGUGAAAAAUUACUUUGCCCCUACUUAAGUUAGUGUCACAGAUAUCUUGUUAAUUCUUUUUCACCAUUAUAGUUACUAUUCAAUAUGUAAAUUACCUUCUAUAUAUUCUUCUAUUUUAGCAUAUUAAUAAACAAAAAAAAAAGAAAGAAAACAAAGAAAGGGAGAAAGAGAGAUUAGAAGAAAAAAGGAAAAGUUAAUGUGAUUAAUUUGAUUUGAUUUGAUUAAUAAAAUUAGCCAUACUUUGGAUAAUAGUUCUCCCUGGAGACAUGACUCGAGAACUUCUAAAGAGACAACUGCACCAGCCACAGCACCAAUUCCAGCUCCUCGGAAGAGCCCGGUCUCUGUGGUUUGGCCUUUGAGUGCACCUGAUAUUGACCCUAUGAUGGCUCCACCUUGUAAUAAUAAACAUGAUCACAAAUUAAUUGUACUGAGAAUAUGUAACUACUACUUUAAAAAAAGGGAAAAAAAAAACACCAAAAAAAAGUUCUAACCUAACCUUUGAUAGGAACAGUGAAAAUUAUCUACAAAGAAAAUAUUAGUUCUUUGUGUUAUCUCCACCUUAGAAUAGUGAACAGUGUGUGUGUGUGUGUAAGAGAGAGAGAGAGAGAGAGAGAGAGAGAGAGAGAGAGAGGGAAACUUACAAAGUGCAAAUGUGCAAGUGAGACAUGCAAAAGCUAGUUUUCUCAGAGAGCUCAUGCAAAGGCCAAAGAUAAGACCAGGAAACUCACUCCAAAAGCCCUCCAUUCAAAACCCUCUCUUUCUCUCUACUUUAGCACUACUAAUUAGCUAGGAAGAGUCUUAUUAGUGUGAAGGGAUCAUGUAAUAUGAGAGAGAGAGAGAGAGGGGGAGGAGGUGGAAGUGAAGAGGUAGAUAAUAAGUAGGGGUUGGUGCAGGGCAAUAUAUGGAAUGCAUAUAUAUAUAUAUAUAUAUAUAUAUAUAUAUAUAUAUAGCAUGGAGAAGUGUGAGGAGAGAGUGGAAGCAUUUAAGAGGGUGAGAGAGGGAACUCACCCCAAUGCAUGCACAAUACCAUUGCCUACACUUGUAACCUAUCCUUGGUCUAACUUUUUGAUGUGGGCUUUAGGUUUGGACCAUUCAUGGAGGAGCUCAUCUAAUUUGGAAACCCUAAAACCACUUGCACCAAAGCAGUGGGCUGGUAUUUGGGAUGAGUUGAUGAUCCUGUAUAUGAGAAUAAAUAUUAUUUAGACAUUGAAUUUGAAUUCAUUGUAGAAAAAUUAAAUAUCUCUACAAAUGUUAUCACUCAUUUAGCCUAGCUUCUGUAACAUCUUUUCUAAAUGAUCUAACGCACGACAAUUUUCUCUAAAAUCUAUUACAACUUUUGCUUUUGCUUUUGCUACAAUAAUAUUGUAUGCAUGUAGAGAAGAUUUUAGCAAAAUUUUUAAGUUUUUUUUUAAAUAACUCUACUCAAAUGUGAGCACUCGUGGGGCUAAAUGUAACCUUCAGUAGAUGGAUAAAUUUAUGUUCCAUUAAUAUAUUCAACAUAUUUAAUGCCAGUUGCAAUUUGCAGAUCCAUCGCAAAUGGCUCCAACUUUUUUAUGAUAAUGAUAAUAAUGUGCCCAUCUUUAUAUAAGUUCCAAAAAUUAAUAAAGGGAUGUCUUUUUAUUAAAAAGUAGGGACAUGCAUUUUUUUUUCUUUUUUUUUUUAAGAAAAUAUCUUCCUUGAUGUGUAAAUGAGAGUACCACUUAAGCUUUUUGCAUGCAUGGAAAUAAAUGGCUCAGCAAACGUUUAUUUAAUAGUUGCCACCAUUCCAAAAGGGAAGUACAAAAGUAAGAGAAUUUGGUUUUUACCUUCAUUAUUUUCUCUCUACUUUGAUUAAAUAGUGGUCACAAGAUGAGGAGGUCACAUGACUCACAUCAAAGGAAUAAUUGUAGUAAUUUUUAAAAGUAAAAAGAUGGGAAAAAUAUAAAAUUCAAUCAGUAAAGGUAAUUUAACUGUUAUGAAAGAACUUGUUUAAUUGCUGGGAUAUCAGGUGCUUCUCAUUCAAAAUGGUUCCCGCUUUAAUUUGUUUGAUAAUAUAAAUUUAUUUUUUCUCAGGGCCUGAUUUGGAAUAUGUGGCCCAUUCAAGGCCCAACCCCGGCCCAAAAACCCAAAGAAUAAUUGGGCUGGAUAUGAAAAUUAGUCCAUUUAUUUAUAUUUUUAUUUAAUUUCACAAAAAAUUGAAUUUUUUACAAAAGCCCAAAACUGUUUCUUUUUUACUUUUUUAACUGCGAAACGCCGUCGCACUUUGCAAGAGAGAAACCAAAACCCUAAACCCAUUUCCCCACCGACCGAGAGAGAGAGAGAGAGAGAGAGAGAGAGAGCGAUGAUGGCGUGGUGCGCCGCGAGGUCGGCGGCGGCGGCGGCGGCGGUGGCGGCGCCGGGGGCCGACCUGCGGGCGCUGCGCGCGCGCGCGCCCGUGGCGGCGGCGGGGCUCUGCUGCGUCUCCGUGGCCGGCUCCCUCCUCCGGUCCUCCUCCUCCUCGCGCAAAUCCCACAACCCCUUCGCCUCCCUCAACGCGACCCUCUCCUCCUCCGCCAGCGCCGCAGGUACCGGAAAAGGAAAGAUUUUUGUAGGGUUUGUUCUCUUGUUACAGUGUUGCUUCGUUUUAACAAAGUUAUUGUGCAAUUGGUUUUCAACGAUUAUGAUUAGAUGUUUGCAACUGCGUAGUGUAUCCGGCUUGUUGGAAAAAAUUAUUCUGCAAAAAAGGAAAACAGAUCUGCGAAAUGUGACUAUUUAGAGCUUCUCUAGCUGUGUAAGCGGUAAGCCAUUCUUUGUAAGGGAGAAUCAUGAACCAUCCGGUAUGCCGGGAAUUAAUCUUUAGCAUAUGAUUAAGCUAAUUGUAAGUAAAAUUCUUGAAUCUUGAAUCAUUUUAGUUGUCGUAGUGUCGCUUGUUUUUGAUAAGUCAAUUUUUGUUUUCUCGCAUUCCUAUGUGCACUGUUCGUUACGUUGAAAUCUUGACCAUUAAAUUUGAGGUAUAAAAGGAAAAAACAAUCGAAACAUUCAUGGAGUAUUCAGUAUUAGAAUUUUAUGAAAAAUAAUUAGCUCAAGCUUUGCAAUCCGAUGCCCUGUUUUUAGAUAAGAAGGAGGCUGUCCAGACAGAAAAUGCGCCUGCGGCGUUAGGCUCGUACUCGCAGGCUAUCAAAGCCAAUAACCUUGUUUUCGUCUCUGGUGUUCUGGGCCUUGUUCCCGAGGUUUGUCAUCUCUAGUUCAUGGGGUUAAUUCUAGAAAACUAAGUGCAUUUGCGGCGAAAUAGCAUUCUUUCAAUUUCUAAUUGGUGCACUUUUUGUGAUCCGUACUUUUGUAGACAGGAAAGUGUAUCUCUGACAGCAUUGAAGAGCAAACUGAGCAGGUAAGCAAGUCGAAUUUGAUUAUUCCGUAGAUUAUCAGUUACAUUUCGUAGUUUUCUUGUUUUGCAAUUUGCUUUUGUCUUUUUAACGAGUACUAGAAGCGAUACUGACCUAAUGAAGGUAUAGUAAACAUAGUGUGAGAUGUAAAAUUCCUAUGUUCAAUGUUUAUAUUGACGCUGCAUUCACUUUAAAGUGUCAAUAUGUUUGUUUUAAGGCAAACUUUUUGAUAGUAAUGCGUAAUGCCUGAUCAUAUGUGGUUAUGUACUGCAUCUGCAACAUGUGAAAAGCCUUUUAGUUUUAAGAUGCUUAUAUUAAUCUAUUAAAAGUGUAGUAAAAAUGGUCCUUGUUUUUGCAUUAACUUUGUGUAUAGACUAAGAAAUAACUGAACGGAUGAUAGUGAUUUUUUUUUCCUCCUUCCUGUAGAUGAUUUCCCGAAAUUUUUGGUGAGUUUGGUGUGAAUGAUAGCAUAGUCAUUUGAAGCAUUUACUUAUUACUUGUAAUUUAAGAUGGCAAAGUUCUCAAGCAAAGUUUUGGGAGUAUCUUGUAAGAACUCUUAAAACCCUCCAAUGUGAGAUAUGUUUGGGCCUCAGGUUUUAACAUUUUUGGCCUGCAUGUAGCCCUAUUGAUUGACACCCAAAAGUUCCCCUGUUGAUCCAAGGCGCUGAUGUUAUUACAGAGUCAAUAAGUGUCUGACUUGACUUUAAUUUAGCAUAGCUUUUCGUUAGGGUAUAGGUUGGACGCUCUAGGCUGGGACUGGGCCAUUUGUUUCAAACCCUCCCCUCGCCAAACUAGGGCGUGAUACUAGCCCAGCACAAUAUAGAUCGCAAGACGUGUUGAAGAUCUUGAGUUUCAGCCUAUUUAUCUAGUAUCAUCUCAUACUCACUAUCAUUUAGUGUCUUCUUUCCUUGGCUUUUGAAUCAACUUUCAUUAUGGGAAGCAUAACCCGUGCAUUUGACGAAUAGAUCAUGAGCUUCACUGAGAAGCAAAAGUCAACUUUUGAACCCCAGAUACAAAAGAUUCAAUUUUGAAUUCUCUUCCAGCUAAGCCAAAAGAUGUUGGGGAAUUUAGUCAGCAGUUGGCGCUUCUUGAAAAGCUAUACAUGAACACACCUACACAUGCUUAAGGCAGUCAAUCAUGCUAACAUACCUUCUAUAUUGAAGCUUAAUUGUUUCAACCAAAAAGAUGAAAACGAUUCCGUUUAUGUCCCACUUAUUCUUGUUAUUAUGUAAUCUAAUUUUGCUGUUAAUUGUUCAACUUAGGAAAUUUAGAUAUGAGAAACAUUAAGAAAUUCAGAGAUGAAAAACAUAGAUGUUGUUUAUUAUGUAAUCUAAUUUUGCUGUUAAUCGUCCAACUUAGAAAUUUAGAGAUGAAAAAUAUUAAUUUUUAAUCCCUUUUUGUCACCUUUUUUCUUCUUUGGACUUUGGGGUGCUUUUCUGAUUUAGAUUCCUUUAUGCAUUUGGUCAAAUUAUAUAUUAUUGUCAAAACUUCUGAUAAUUGUUUGACACAUAUUCUUGUGAUAAAUUUUUAUAAGAAUUUAUGUUAUGGCAUUUCAAGACUUCAAGUUAUAAUUGAUGGUUCUUUCAAAAUAUGUAGAUCAUUUCGCAAUUUCUUAUUCAUCUUACCAAUAUGUUCUUCUAUUUCAGUAUUUUGCCGCAACUUUUCUAAUUAUUUGGUCUCUUGACUUUUUGGAUAACUACCUAACAGGUUUUGAAGAAUAUGGGGGAAAUAUUGAAAGCGAGUGGUGUCAGCUACUCGUCUGUUGUAAAGACAACGAUAAUGUAUGCUCUACUUCUUUCUGUUGUUAUGAGAUACAAAACCAUCAUCUAAUGGUUGGGGCAGAAGGAAAUUUUAGUGGAAGGCAUUUUUGUUGUCAUUGUUAUGGCUUAGGUUACUCUGUGCUGUCUUGUUUGUUUGCAAAUGUUGUUUGUUUGGAAUUCAAGGAAUAAGUUUUAUUCCUGGAAGAAGUAUGAUAGUGACACAUCAUAUAUUAAAACUUUGCAUUCAAGGUGUCACUUUGUUGUGUGAAAUAAGCGCCUUAUAAUAAGCCUCAUUCCAACCUUAUUCUCCAACUUUUUGCUGACUGCUAAGAAUCUUCCCUUCUGCAGGUUAGCUGACUUGCAGGAUUUCAAGAAAGUGAACGAGAUAUAUGCGAAAUGUAAGUUCCUAAACUUUGAAUAUAUCUUGGGUUUGUUGUUUGUUCUCAAAAAAUUAGCAAUAAGUGCAUUGACUUUGAAUGAGGUACUCUGAAGAAUGGUUAUUCUUUAUUGCUUUGAGGAUUGUUCGCUAUUACUGCGAUAUUGUAUGAGAUUGUAAUUGAUGAGAUUAUAGAAAGUACAUAUCAUUUGAAUUGUACUAAUUAUAUCUUGUAUGAUGCAAUGAAAAAAAAAAGGCUUUUUUGCAUUGAUUUGUAUACUCGUGUCACUAAUAAAUUCGUGGGAUGAUUGAUUUCUGAAAAUCUUGGUCAUUUAUAUUUUGAGUUAUGCUGCACCUUAUUUUGGAGCAUUUCAAUUUUCAACGUUGUAGCUGUCUUAAUUUUUCAUACAUUCUGAUAUGUUUAAGAACAUGCAUAUUUGGUCGUAUGUCUGUAAAUCUCUCGUCUGUCAAGUGUUUUAUAGCUACUCCAUUAUAAAACAACAAUUUUGUCAUGCAGAUUUUCCGGCCCCAGCCCCAGCACGUUCAACCUACCAAGUGGCAGCCCUACCAAUGAAUGCCAGGAUCGAGAUCGAGUGCAUUGCUGCCCUCUAGAGCUCCUCUACUCUCAAUGCCUAAAAGGCUUUAUCCUGUUUCUAGAUCUUUAAUGAAUAAUUGCAUCAGGAUGCUUUGGUCACCUUGCUAUUGAACUUAAAAGGUUCAGCUUCUAUUUCAUUUAACCAAUGCUUGCUUCACUGAGGCGUGUGGUGAAAACUACUUCUAGAAACAAGAUUGUAGUUUUUCUUUUUUGGGAGAAAUGAGCAGGGCUUAAUGAUAUGAGAAAUUCGGCAGGGUUGAUAUGGAUGCUGAAACAGGUUUAUGAUGAUAACUUUGUUUAUUGGGAUUUUCCUUUGUGGUUCAUGAUUUCAGUGUAGGAGUUCAAUAGAAACUAUGUUGACAACCUGGGUGUUCUGAUAUUCCGAAUAGUAGCUUCAAUUACAAGGUGAUUUAUCAUAUUCCAAGUAAAAGUGUAGAAGAGGCCAUAUAUUCUAUGCAAUUGUAGACAUCUUCUCGUACUCCCCAUGAAUGAAUUACCACGAAGCCCUGUAGGGUCCAUUCGGAUACACGAAUAUCUCGUUUAUCAUGUCCUUUUUGUUU